rnacentral:lncRNA from 1 species
AUUCUUUAAAACCGUGUAUUAUGAAUUCAAACAAACUUGUCAUGCAUGCCUUAAGAAAUUACCCUUUUAAUAGUAUAUACGUAUAAUGUAAUGUAUUAUAACAAAGAUUAAUGAUGAUAGACAUCCAAAAUUUUCCAUCGUAAAUGAUGUGUCAUUUAUUGAGUGGUUAGUAAUUUUUUAUAAGACUUAAGUAAAUUAAUUGUAUUAUUUUACCAUUCAAUUGAUAAAUGUCACACCAUCCGGAUGGUAUUCUUAAAUAAAAAAUUUAAGAUGUGUAAUAGAUCUUACCAAUAGAGGCAUUUGAAAUAUAUAAAUUGCCUAUCUAGUUAGUUUUUAUACAGAGUGUAUACACACACAUGAGUACAUUUGUACAUACGUUGUAAUCAUAUGUUAUCACAUUCUAUUAAUGAUCUAUUUUUCAUGAUCAUCGGGUGCUGCAAUAUAUAGAAGGCACCUUCAAGGCAAUAGCUUCUAAAUUGGUAAACGUGUAUGGACGAGUUAAUUAAAAAUGCAAGUACGUAUCUGAGAGGAGGCCCAACGAAAUACAAACUGUUAUUGUUCAGUUUGCAGCAAAAUGAGCCGCUAAAUUAGCCUGCCUGAGGUGUUUACUCUGAAACUUUUUUGUUGCAUGCAUGAUAAUUUUGAGUAAUUAAUCCUUUUUAAUAAGAAUCCAAUAUUAUUUAAUAAUAAUAUGUAGCCAUAGUUUUCAGGUUCAUAUAAGGUAGUUUAUGCCAGAAGUAAUGGACUAUUGAUUUCAGAUAGGGGAACAGAGCAAUACACGCAAAAUACAAACUCUCAUGGGUACACUAUUAUUAGAUGAAAAUGUUAAAAAUAUUACACGGUUAUUAACGCUCGUGACUCGUGAGGCGCUAGGUUUUUAAUAUUUUAUGAGA